rnacentral:rRNA from 1 species
AUGGCAGAUCAUUGUGCAAGUAGCGGCAGCUGGACGGAUCUCCCAGGCGAUCUCCUUGGCCUCAUCUUGCAACUCCUUGAGCUCCCCGAAGCUCUCGCUGCCGCAGCCGUCUGCACUUCAUGGCGCUCAGCCGCAGCGGCCGCCGGCGUCCCUCGCGGCCGCACGCCGUGGCUCAUUAGCUGGAAAACGGCCAACUGCCGGAGCAGCGAGUUCCGGAACCUCCUCGGCACCCGCAGGACCCACAAGGUUAGCUUGCCCGCCGGGCGGCGCAGGCUCGAGUGGUGUGGAGCCUCGCAUGGAUGGCUCGUCGCGUCGGACGAGCUCUCCAACCUCGUGCUCUACCACCCCUUCACCUUCGCCACGAUCCUUCUCCCGCCCAUCACCGAUCUGGAGUGCGUCAAGGGGGUCUACGACGCCGACGGAGGCAUCGUGGGCUAUCGUUUUGGGAAAUACCUUCAGCAUGAGCCUAGUCAGCCCGGUGCGCAAGACCUCGGCACAUGGUUCUACCAAAAGGUGGUGUUGUCAUGCGAUCCAUCUCAUGGUGAUGACUACACUGCCGUGGCCAUCCACUAUGAUGCUAACUGUUUUUCCUUCACAAGAGCAAGAGAGGGGCGCUGGCGACUUGCCUCGGCUCUCCCUGACGGGGGCGACGAUCGGUAUGCCGAUUGUCUCUACCACGACGGAAGAUUCUACACGGUGACGUUGCGUGGGGUGGUCGAGGCGUGGGAUCUUUGUGGGCUGCAAGAACCAAACAAAGAGGUGAUCAUCGCCGACGGGGACAAAAGGUAUAGGAGGGUCCUUACCAGAUUCCUUGUGUCUACGGCCUGCGGCCGCCUCCUGCAGAUACGAACCGUUCGACGCACUCAACACCCCAGAGAAAUCAAGGUAGAGGUGCUCCAAGUCAACGUCGAAGUGCACAUGCUGGUUGCUCUGAGCUCUUCGGCAGCCCUGCCGGAACAUGCGGUGUUUGUCGGCUUGAAACACUCAGUGUGUCUGCCCAUCAGGGAGUUUCCGGAGCUCAGGCCCAACUGCGUCUACUUCACCACGCCUCGGCUGAAACACCACGACAAUUUCGGUCUUCGUGGCUGGAGUGGUGUGAGGGUGUACGACUUGGAAAGUCAGACGUCUGAGCGUGCUUUCCCAGGCUUUGGACCGUACUAUGCGGUGUUUUGGCCCUCUGAACUUUGGUACAUUCCGAAUCUUUCAAGGAUGAGAUCACUGGAUGCGAUGGAUGGCUUUUGCUUCAAGCUGGAAGAAGUGGACUCGCUGAUCUGUGACAUCAAGUUGGAAGUAGUUGACUUCGGCAAAGGAAGUUGGGCUUCAGUUAGCUAG